UACGUAGGGUGCAAGCGUUGUCCGGAAUUAUUGGGCGUAAAGAGCUCGUAGGCGGUCUGUCGCGUCUGGUGUGAAAACUCAGGGCUUAACCCUGAGCUUGCAUCGGGGUACGGGCAGACUAGAGUGCGGUAGGGGAGACUGGAAUUCCUGGUGUAGCGGUGAAAUGCGCAGAUAUCAUGAGGAAGACCAGUGGCGAAGGCGGGUCUCU
rnacentral:rRNA from 1 species